rnacentral:rRNA from 1 species
CCUACGGGAGGCUACAGUGGGGAAUAUUGCACAAUGGGGGAAACCCUGAUGCAGCGACGCCGCGUGAGUGAAGAAGUAAUUCGUUAUGUAAAGCUCUAUUAGCAGGGAAGAAAAUGACGGUACCUGAGUAAGAAGCCCCGGCUAACUACGUGCCAGCAGCCGCGGUAAUACGUAGGGGGCAAGCGUUAUCCGGAUUUACUGGGUGUAAAGGGAGCGUAGACGGCAGUGCAAGUCUGGAGUGAAAGGCGGGGGCUCAACCCCCGGACUGCUCUGGAAACUGUACGGCUUGAGUGCAGGAGAGGUAAGUGGAAUUCCGAGUGUAGCGGUGAAAUGCGUAGAUAUUAGGAGGAACACCAGUGGCGAAGGCGGCUUACUGGACUGUAACUGACGUUGAGGCUCGAAAGCGUGGGGAGCAAACAGGAUUAGAUACCCUAGUAGUC